GUGGGGAAUAUUGGACAAUGGGGGGAACCCUGAUCCAGCCAUGCCGCGUGUGUGAAGAAGGCCUUUUGGUUGUAAAGCACUUUAAGCGAGGAGGAGGCUCUUCUAGUUAAUACCUAGGAUGAGUGGACGUUACUCGCAGAAUAAGCACCGACUAACUCUGUGCCAGCAGCCGCGGUAAUACAGAGGGUGCGAGCGUUAAUCGGAUUUACUGGGCGUAAAGCGUACGUAGGCGGCUUUUUAAGUCGGAUGUGAAAUCCCUGAGCGUAACUUAGGAAUUGCAUUCGAUACUGGGAAGCUAGAGUAUGGGAGAGGAUGGUAGAAUUCCAGGUGUAGCGGUGAAAUGCGUAGAGAUCUGGAGGAAUACCGAUGGCGAAGGCAGCCAUCUGGCCUAAUACUGACGCUGAGGUACGAAAGCAUGGGGAGCAAACAGGAUUAGAUACCCUGGUAGUCC
rnacentral:rRNA from 1 species